UACGAAGGGGGCUAGCGUUGUUCGGAUUUACUGGGCGUAAAGCGCACGUAGGCGGAUCGUUAAGUCGGGGGUGAAAUCCUGGAGCUCAACUCCAGAACUGCCUUCGAUACUGGUGCUCUUGAGUCCGGAAGAGGUGAGUGGAACUCCUAGUGUAGAGGUGGAAUUCGUAGAUAUUAGGAAGAACACCAGUGGCGAAGGCGGCUCACUGGUCCGGUACUGACGCUGAGGUGCGAAAGCGUGGGGAGCAAACAGG
rnacentral:rRNA from 1 species